rnacentral:rRNA from 2 species
AGACCCGAAACCCGGUGAUCUAGCCAUGGGCAGGUUGAAGGUUGGGUAACACUAACUGGAGGACCGAACCGACUAAUGUUGAAAAAUUAGCGGAUGACCUGUGGCUGGGGGUGAAAGGCCAAUCAAACCGGGAGAUAGCUGGUUCUCCCCGAAAGCUAUUUAGGUAGCGCCUCGUGAAUUCAUCUCCGGGGGUAGAGCACUGUUUCGGCUAGGGGGCCAUCCCGGCUUACCAACCCGAUGCAAACUGCGAAUACCGGAGAAUGUUAUCACGGGAGACACACGGCGGGUGCUAACGUCCGUCGUGAAGAGGGAAACAACCCAGACCGCCAGCUAAGGUCCCAAAGUCAUGGUUAAGUGGGAAACGAUGUGGGAAGGCCCAGACAGCCAGGAUGUUGGCUUAGAAGCAGCCAUCAUUUAAAGAAAGCGUAAUAGCUCACUGGUCGAGUCGGCCUGCGCGGAAGAUGUAACGGGGCUAAACCAUGCACCGAAGCUGCGGCAGCGAACGUAUCACCCAAGACAACUUUACGGAGUUGACGAUUGACGGAGCGAAGCGACGUCAAAGCGUUCAUUAAAGUCGAGUUGGCUUAGGGAUACGUUCGUUGGGUAGGGGAGCGUUCUGUAAGCCUGUGAAGGUGUGUCGUGAGGCAUGCUGGAGGUAUCAGAAGUGCGAAUGCUGACAUAAGUAACGAUAAAGCGGGUGAAAAGCCCGCUCGCCGGAAGACCAAGGGUUCCUGUCCAACGUUAAUCGGGGCAGGGUGAGUCGACCCCUAAGGCGAGGCCGAAAGGCGUAGUCGAUGGGAAACGGGUUAAUAUUCCCGUACUUGGUGUUACUGCGAAGGGGGGACGGAGAAGGCUAUGUUGGCCGGGCGACGGUUGUCCCGGUUUAAGCGUGUAGGUGUGUGUUCCAGGUAAAUCCGGUUCACUUUAACACUGAGGCGUGACGACGAGGCACUACGGUGCUGAAGCAACAAAUGCCCUGCUUCCAGGAAAAGCCUCUAAGCAUCAGGUAACAUCAAAUCGUACCCCAAACCGACACAGGUGGUCA